rnacentral:lncRNA from 1 species
GCUUGCCCUUGUCCUAGUGGUCCCUCCACCGAGGAAGCUAGCGCUCCUGAGCCCACUGGCUUGUUUUUGUUUAUUGGAUUUUUGAUUCAGGGUUUCUCUGUGUUAUUCUGGAACUCUCUUUUUAGACUAGGUUGGCUUCAAACUCAGAUUCCUUACCUGUCUCCUAAUCCCCCAAAUGCUGGCUUAAAGGUGUUCCUCACUAUGCUUGAGCCUUUCUGCAAAUCAAAUGUCUAUGCCUUAGAGAACCUGAAAGACCCCCAGAGCAGGGAGACCCUCACUCAAGUCUGGGGAUGACACCACCCUCCAAGAACUCAGAAAGAAACUCCUGGAAGAACUUCUCAUGAGAUUCCUACCCUUGCUGAUUCAUGGGUGGUCGCUGCUGAGUGGGCUGGACUGCAGCUGCUGAUUCCUGCUCGGUGUUUGCUAGUGGACUGAACUGUGACGAGUGAAGACUGAAGUUGCCUCUAAGAACUCUCUGUAAACAUGUCCACUGCCCCAAUUCUUUUUAAACCUUUCUUUUCCACUACCUGUGGUGGGUGGUAGGCUACACAGGAGGUUAUGACAUGUAGUGGGUUGGCCUGAUGCUACUUUUAUUCU